CUCUCUCUCUCUCUCUCUCUCUCUCUCUCUCUCUCUCUCUCUCUCUCUCUCUCUCUCUCUCUCUCUCUCUCUAGACGAUUGUCGACGCAUGGUCGUUCAUUACUUUUCGAGAUCGCUCUCGUCCGAUCUAUGUCUCUCUUCAACAAUUCUCACGAGCAGUUCUCUCCACGCUAAAGAAUAUCAUUAAAGCAAUACUGAAAGCUCGCUGCUGAAUACCGCAACUCGGAUUGUUACGAAAUUGCGUGGAAGUGAUUUUCUCGAAACUGUACUGCUGAAGAUAAUGAGAACGACUGUGUUCAUUUGUUAAGCGAAACAACCAACGAGAUUAUUAGAAUUCUGUGCGACGUAAUAACGACGAAGCGACAAUACCUCUAUGAAUGUGCUCCUUCUCAAAUUCUCUCUAGAGCGAAUACAUUCGCGAAUGUGUAAUGAUGAGCAUUAUAUUUAAUAUUAAUGUGAUAAAACAUUUCCAUGUUUUACACCCUGGUCAUUAUACAUAUAUUACAAUAUGAUUUACAUUUCUAUAGUAAUUUAUAUUAGAUUAAUUAAUUUUAGAUUAUUUAUCGUAGAAAGGCAGACUUGUUAUAAAAGAGUCUGACAAUGAGUGAAAAAUAAUUUACUGAAUACUUCCAAUAAAUCGAGUCAAAAUGACGAUAGCUGUCGGUCUGUUCUUGACACUUGCAAGGCAAAUUAAUUCGCGACAGCUGACUCGGUUGUCAGUUCGAUUAAGUGUUGGGUGGAGCUGAAUGGUUGUGUAACAAAUUAGAUCUGGCUGUGCUGACUAGUUUAUAGGCUGCGUAUUUACUUGAGGCUAUACGAUAUUGCAUAUGAGAUAUAAGCCACAGCCUAUUAUCGCUAUAUCGAUUCGACAUGGCAAAUCUCAUUUUGAUACUACGGAUAUGCAUUAUGUCAAAUGUAUACGUACGAAACAUAAUUUUAAUUGGGACUGUACUUAAGAAAAUAGGUGAGUUGCAACAAUAAUUUUGUUUCUUCUCUUCCGUGUAAAAAAAAUUCGCUAAUAAGCUUUUGGAGAAUAACUUGGAGAGUAAUUUACAGAGAAUAAAAGAGAAAAUCUCUUAAUUUCGACCAUAAAAACUUUCGUGAACAAUAAUAUGCGGCAAUUAAAUAAUACAUACUGCAUCUGAAUUAUUUAUUUGCAAAAGAUGAGGAGAGAACUCCUGCACUAAUUAAAUUUAUAUGAUGUUCUACAUUUCACAUUUAUCGUACACGUUACAUUACAUCUCAUUUUACCGAUAAUUUACUUAUUUAAAUAAUCGUUAGAGCCAUUUUCCACACAAUUAUCGUACUAUUUAAAUCAAUUCUAUUCUUCUUUGAUGUCGUUCAAUCCUGAUGAUGAAACAUGUCAUUGGCUCAUUAUGGGUUUCUGUUGAUCCGGUUAAUGAUAGCUAAUGAAUAUAUCUUUAUUUGCAUGAAAUGCGAUUAUUCGGCAGCCCUGUCAAAUAUUUUCACUCAAUAAUACAAGGAUAAAAUGACACAUCAUAAUCAAAAGAUUUAAUAGAGUACGUUUUUUUUUAUAUACCUAUCAUUUGUUGAUCUAAAAAGAAUAGCGACGCGUAAAAAUAUUUUUCUCUUUCUAGUUAAUAGUUGACAAUUACUUAUCAAGUUAAAAUUUAUAAUUAAUAUUACGUGUAUUUAUAAAUUAUAUUAAGUGUAGAGUAAUACCAAAGAUAAAAAAUAAAAAUUCAUGACUCAAUGUUUGAUGUGAAUCAAAAGAGCUUUUUCAUAUUUCGCAGUCAAUUCAAGAUUUAAGAAUCUAACGCUUUAACGAUUUCGCGUCCAUCAUCGUCAGACCAAGUAUUUACUUCACACUGGCGAGCUCGCGAGGGAUAAAGGAAGGAAGGAAGUGCCGAAGGAAGGAAGAAAGCUGUGGGGAGAACGUCAUGAGAAAAGGGCGAUCCAUCAAAAUCAAAAGAGCGCCGCCGCAAGCGCCAAGGGUCGUUUACUUUCUCCGCUCUUCGCGGAUACUUGGUUAUUUUUCGAGUCGCCUCUUAUCUUUUUUUUCCCUUUGUCCUCCCCGUUUGUGUCAUUAUCCUCACACCUACGUGUGACAUUGGUGAAGUGGCCAGAUAAAUGAUAUAACAAGUAACUAUGUAUUAUAUACAAAGAACAGCCUUGAUCUACUCGAACGGAUUGAGUAGAAUAUCUUGGGCCUGGAUAAUUUAUUCUCAAAGAUGUGGAAUUUUCUAGACUGCGCGUGACAAUUAUUAAUCGAUCGUUUGAGUAUCACUCGGAUGACAAUUAUAACAUUAAUAGGAUGCUAAUUAAUAUCGCGUUCAAAUAACUCUGUUCAGUAUUCCGAUAUUGAAGAUUAUCGAGCUGUUUACUUCUCAUUGCAAAGUUUUUCGAUUGAAAACACGUCUGUCGUUACACACCGCACAAGUAGAGAGAAGUUUCUCUUAAAAAGCAGACAAGGUACUAACUAGGUAAGACAUCAACAUGUGGAAAGUUUAGGGUGCGAGGUGUUGUACUGGAAAUUUAUGCGCGCGCGAGCAGCGAGAUAACAUCGCUCGACGAGGCACACACAUAUCGCGAGUUUUCACCACUCGAAUGCCUGAAUAAUUGGAAAUUCAAUAACUCGACACUCACGGUACAACUUGAGACUGCUUGCGGCAUGCUAAGUAACACUAUCGCCGCUCCUUCAACUUGAUGAUGAUUUAGUAGCGCGGAAGGAAAUACAUAUGAGAGAGAGAGGGAGUAGCAGAGAGAGAGAGAGAGAGAGAGAGAGAGAGACUCGACGGGAGCAGGGCGGAGCUGGGCGCGGGCGCGUGAAUCUAUUUAAGCGCGACACUGAGAGAAUCACGAAGUGAAGGGUGAAGAGAGGACAGAAUAAUGGAUGGUAUACCCGUAAUGUCACAUGCAGCAUGCCGAAACCACGCCGUCCACACUCUCUCGGCAGUGUUAAUCAAACGGCGCGCGAGGUAACCCGCGGAAAAGGCGACCGCGACGCGACGUGGUGGUGGUGGGCUGGGGGAUGUACGGUCAGAGAGAACGCGUGGCCAGGCUAUCAGGCUGGUCGAUUGGCCGAAGAAGCUUUGGAAAACUGCCAGCGAGUUUCCGAAGUCGCAAGCUUUGGCUGACCUCGGCUCGUCUAUCCCACCGAGAUGGAUUUUUUUUUCUCUCAGGACCUUUGUGUCCCCGGGAAGUAACUUCACGGUUGUAUCCGUGUGUAUUGCUCGCCGAUGUGACGGAUACUCGUUCGUGUGUGCGCGCAUACGAACAGCUCGUGCGCACACAGGAGCAUGCAUUUUACGAGCCAACAUCCCCCCUCGGGUGCGUGCGGUGGCAUCGUCAGCAUUUUCUACCUUGACCGAUGAGAUCGUUGCUGAAACGAAUGCAUGUUUACAGUGGUUCUCAGUAUGUCGGAUCCACAACUGUCCGCGCACCAACUACGUCUUAUAAUUUGUCGCCUCGAUAAAUGUAGCGAUAAAACACGUUAACUCUAUCUUUGCAUUUAUGUUAUGUGUAAAAAGACGUAAUGCAAUAAAGAACCCAAAAUUAUAUAUAUAUAUAUAUAUAUAUAUAUAUAUGUCGACAACUUUUUAUUACAUCAUCUCUCCUCUCUAAAUUUCGGAAACAAGUCGUUCGUUAAGCCCUCAACGAUUGAAUCGAUCAAAAGGACUUGACAAUUAACGAAAUCGUUGAAGAGCUGGUCGGAUGGAAACGUAACAGUUGCGCCUGGAGAUCGUAAGCCCAUCGCUGCUUUUCAGGAAAUUACAUUCCAUUCAUAACGGCUUCCACAACGCUUAUCGCGAGCGGCAUUUAAAUAAAUUUACACUGUCUGUGUUUCCAUGAACUGAGAAACGACAGUACGCCUCAGCGGUUCUGAAGGGUAUCUGCGAGGAUGCUUUAGAUAACUUUUAAUUGGGAUGAACAUAAAUUUUCCUGCGCGCCAGUAACGCUCGCGAGCUUUAUUGUAAGGCAGAAGCGCUUACGAUGAUUCUCGUCAUUUAAAAUAAUACAAAAUGCUUCCAAAUGGACAAUGGCGUGUUAUUACGCGUUGUAACCUCUUGCUAUAACUCGCGGACGAACUUUAUUUUACAAUUAACAAGAGCACCGGUGUUUAUGAUCGAUAAUAAAAACGGCAAAUUGACACAUCCUCCAUGAUAUCCUCUCUUCACACGAAUGUUACAUGCUGCACAAAAUGCGCGUCGCUACGGGUCAACGGUUUCAGCCUCGUCGAAUUUCUACGUCAAGCCCUGCUCGCUUGAGUGCGAUUAUUUGCAUAACACAAUGAACAUUUCGGUAUUGACAUUGCGCAGUUUCUAUUAGCGCGAGCAAUAUUUGAAAUUGCGAAGCGCCAGCGCCUGAGUUUUGUUCGGACGUCGGAUUGAUCCGAUUUGCGUAUUCCAUCCGAUACCGGACAGCCUAGUUUUUAAAAAUACUGACAUUUUACGUUGUCAGGAAGGACUUGGGCUUUUUUCCCCGAUCGUUUGUAAAAUGUAUGUCGAAUGAAAAAGAAGAUCGACGAGUUAACAACGUCGAGCAACUUCAACGUAACGCUGCUUUGUUUUGAUGCACAAAACGACAAAUUAAUUACAACUUCGUAACGAAGCGAUCGAUAACUGCGAAUUAAUAUCUGGCAAACAACACGGAACACUAAAAAUACAAAUGUAAAUUGCAACAACACAUUAGAGACUGUAAUUGUAUGUUUUGUCAUGAUUUCUUUGCACAGUUCCAUUGAAAUUUUAUGCAUUAUUGUUGCAUUAUUAUUUAUUAUUAUUUACGUUCACGCGACUUUUUCUCGCUUUUUUUUAUCUACGAUUUUCUCGUAUAAAGUAUAGAGACCUAUAAGAGAGCAAUAUUAUUGCAAAUAAAUUUAUCAGAAAAACUAAUAUACUUCUCUUUAAAACCAAUAUAAAGAACAAAAAAUAGCAGCAAUAUUAAUAACGUUACGUAUAAUCUAAAUAUUUUCCACAGUAGUAAGCAUCCUUCACGGUUUAUCGAACCGUUAUGCGUAAUAUUGCCGGCCAAUUAAUGUCAAUGUCAAAUUUUAUUUUGGCGGUUACCGGUUCGGCAGGUUAUACGCAGGAUGCGCACCAUAUCCUUCAAUUACAGAUACAAUUUUUUCUUCCGGUUAAUCCCUUUACAUUCUAAUUGCUUGUGCGCGAUGAACGUUUCGUCUCUUUCAUCUGUACACGCGUCGAUACUACUAACUUACGAUACCUUUCAAAAUUACAACAUAUUCUCGUCAUCAUUCCUGAUAAAUAUAUCGAAAUGGCACACUACCAUUUAAUUCUUCAUUCUCGCUGAAGAAAACAGCGAACACUCUAUCGACACAAUUCAUGCUUAAUGGAGACUCAUUAUAAACUAUCCUUUAGCAGGCUUCAUCGAUAAAAGUUAGUAUGUAAUUGCGGACAUAUAUCGCUACGCCGCGUAAUGUACUGCAUAAUACUCUCAACACGCCUAAACUAAUUUCAAACUGUAAUAAAAGUACGCGUGGCUUAUACAUGUGGAACGUAUGCCAUAAACCAUUAACGGUAAUGAUAUUGUUCUUGUAACGCGGCUCUAAUGCUAACGAUAACGAGCUGGCACAUAACUGUAUCGUAUUCAUUACCUUGACUUAUUAAAACAAAUAAUGAGAAUGGCGUUUGUUCAACAGGUAUCGUAAUAGCAAAGUAAAAUGGUAGACAAUUAUACGUUUUCUGCAAAGGUAUUGAUAAACGCAAAGAGAACAUUAUACGUAACAGCUUUCGAAUGCUCUUAUUGACGUUUCUAAUGACUUGAACAGACGGCAGCAAGAAGCGACAACGGUU